rnacentral:tRNA from 1 species
GAGCCAUUAGCUGAGUUGGUAGAGCAUCUGACUUUUAAUCAGAGGGUCGAAGGUUCGACUCCACUUAGGCCCACCA